CGGAAAUGGAGGAGUGUUGUGGUUUCGAGGUGUUCUCAUCUGUCCAACUGUGAACAUGCACAAGACCCCCAGAUUGCAAGAAAUGACGGAACUGACGGGGUGGAGGACUAAGGAAAGACUUUCAGGUGAUCAUGCUGCCACCAGACGAACACCUUCACUUUUCUAAAAGAAUGUGAAAGAAGACAGAAGCAAGCAAGCAAGCAAGCAAGCAAGUGGUCAGCGAGAUGUGUUCACUAAGGUAGGACUGACCCUUUGUUUCAGCCGUUAGCGCUCAAAUUGAGCCAGUGAACACCCAAGACCCAGGAACUCAAGACCCAAG